rnacentral:tRNA from 1 species
GCGCCUGUAUCUUAAUUGGUAAAGAAAUGGGCUCUAAACCCAGGGUAUCCGUGUUCGAAUCAUGGCAGGCGUGCCA